AGUGGCUAGACUGCAUAUUCAUGAAAUAACUGAAUAGUCAUUCAUGAAAUAUGCAUGCAUGAAAUUACUGAAUAUCUAUUGAUUUCUCAUUUUCAAGUGUUACUUUUGCAUAGCGCAUUGGAACUGAUAAGUUAAUAAGUUUAUUUUUUCAGUGUUUUCCUUCCUUUUUUUGAGGUUUGCUUCACAAAGGAUACAUGGAACGUUUUGUUACAAAGGGAAUUUUGGUAUAGCAAGCAAAAUAACUGGAAAUAGUAAAAAUAUUGAAGUUUGCAUGUUUGAAAAUAUCUUAAUAAUUAAGACUGAAACUUCUUUUGUUUUGUCUGGUGGUUGGCGGCCCUGCACGUAGCAAGGGGGUUGAAACUAGAUGAUCAUUGUGGUCCUUUUCAACCCAGGCCAUUCUAUGAUUCCAUGUAUGUUGUUAAAAUCAGUAGGUGUAGAAAGAGAAAUUUCUCCAGGUGGUCACUUAAUUAUGCUGUUAGUUGGAUAUUUUCAAUUUUUGCUUUGUCAUUCGAACAUGACAUGUAAGAAAUACAGGUUUUUAGACUGCCUUUGUGAAACACCUAGUUUUAUUUAUGAACAUGAAUGUGAAAAGAAUUUAUAUGCCUGACUGUGUUUCUGACUUCGUGUUUUGGAUUCUGUUCUCUGACUAAGGUGCCUGAAAGGUGGUCAUUAUGUUGCUGAAUAUCUACAGACUUAAUUCCUCUAUUUUGGGUUUCCAUGCUUACAUUUAAAAAAGGCAUACAUAUGCCUGUUUGCAAUGGUAAUGACGCCAAGUUGGAACGCACUCCUUAGCUGCAGGUACCACAUGGGCUCUCCAUUCUGCUUAUAGAAAGAGAAGAUUCGAUAUAGAAGCACCUUCUACAUGGGGAAAAGGAACUUGCCAAAACUCUUCGUCCCAUCUUCUUUCUCUCAGUUUUCAGCCAUGGUCAAAGAUCCAAGAUCCAUUUCUAACAUGGUUAGCGUUCUGAGGAAACUGCUAAAUUCAAGGAACUGAGAAAAAGUCAAAUUAGAGAGGUAUAUAGCGUUGUUGAGAUGGCAGUGAUAAAUAACUCAAGACAGACACAUCAGCAUGAAAAGGUAUGCCACAUAAAGGGGAAAAAUGGAGGUGGCAGAAGAUAGCAGAUCAGCACCACUGAGCUGCUAUUCCAGGUAGCAGUGAGGUAUGAACCUUUCCAACAUGAUUGACAGCACUUAUGGGGAAAGGGCUCUGUGUGUCUUGCCUGGGUGGUGAUGAUAAUAAUGCUUAGUCUAGUACCCCAUGAAAUUAUAGAUAUAUAUUGUUUGCAUUAGCCAAUAAAUAAUUUCAGGUAUAGUAGUUUCUAUUUACUGUUUUCUGUGUGUUAUUUUAAUUGUGUUUUAAGGCUUCUAAUGACUUUUUUGUCCACAGCUAAAGACUAAAGAGACCUAGAGAAGGAGAGAUGCAUAGUUUGUUUUAAAAAUAAAUAAAUACAUAAAUAAAAUUGUUUUCCUUUGAAAUUCAAAACUGCUUUUUGUGGCCAGAGCUGUCCAUUUUCUGGACUGACCAGGGCAUUUGUGUUCAUGUAGAAAUUUUCUGCUGGAGUUUAAAAAUUUGAAUAAAUAAUACUGUAUCAGUUUGCCAUAAUCUGUCCCCCAGUGGUAAUUUACUGUCCAUGAUCAUACAAUGUGUAUUGCAUUAGUUUAGUUCCCGUAUUGAAAAAAUGUCUUAUUAGCUACCUUUUAAGCAAUAGUUUAAAUUGAAUUGAGCCAUAACGUUAAUACAGUAUUCCAGCGGUGUGAUAAUAUACAGUGGUGGAUAGACAUAAAUCUGUCUGUAGACAACCCACAUAUAUAAUCAUAUAUAAAUCCUCACCGUUGUGGUGGUGUGGUUUUUAAGAUCCACAGCCAAGCAGUCUGAAUAUAUUGAAUUCACUUCUGCUGUAGCAGUGAAGAAAUCAAUUCUGUAGUUCUAUACAUAACGAGUGUCCUAAGAAUCAAACUUAGGAUGCCAUUGUGGUGAUUUAUAAACAAUUUAUUAUUUCAUAUGGAUUCAAAAAGCAUAACUGAAUGCAAAAGCAGGUAAAGUAAUAGGGAAAAUAAUUCCAAGUUAUCUUUUCUUAAAAGAAAAUGUUAAUGGUAUAUAAUGGUAGAGUUGUUUGGAAAAAGCCUUAGCAUUGCCUUUUCAGUUGCAAAUUCUUCUUAAUUAUAUCUUACUCAUGUAAAUUAACAAUGAUCUUCCUAACUUUUGUGUCUCUUUAUGAUUUUAGCUACUGCUGCAUAUAGUAUUGUCAGCUAUUUCUUGUGUAUUUUGGUAUACGUUAUUUCUCAGAACUUAAACUCGAAAAUAUAGUGCUAGUAUUGUAUGCUAAAACUAGCGUACUAUUUAUAAUGUGCACCUCAUCACAUCUAGUCUCUGACUGUAGUGAUGGAGGAGGAUAAGAAUGCUACAUAUUGUUUACAAAUUGGUUGUUGUUGUUGCUGUAUGUAUAUUCUAUUUACAGAAUCAGGCCAGUGAAAACCAUAAUGUAAUUUCCUGUAUAAAAGAGGUUGCAUUUCUUUUUUUCUCUGAGAUGGCCUGUAAAUACAGAGACUGUGUUUCUGUCUCCUCAUACCCAUACAAUUUAUUUUCUAAGUAGGGUUCUGAUUUUUCCUAAGCCUUUGAUCAGAGUUCUUUUUCCAAGAUUAUAGGAAAUAAGUAGUUGAAGAAUCUGGGCAGUAUUGAAUUUGUAUGUAAUGUAGAAGAACUGGAAGAAAAUUAAUGGCAUUUAGAGAAAGUUUGUGGGUAGGAGUGUGAAGAGUAGAUGCUAUUUUUAACGUAUGUAUAAGAGAAAUAGACAAUUUCAUACUGAGAACAAAAUUUAGAAGAAACCAAAUGGUUUCAUAUCACUACAUAAUUGUUUUCACAUGUAUUCAUGCAAUAAAAGGUCAAUUUACUUUUUUCAAAUCUUCACGCAUGUCACACUGAGAAUGUGAGAAACUCAUUCUAUAUAACAUUGGUUGAGUGGAGAGAUUAAAGGUAAAGAAAAAAAGUUUCCAUGUUUUUAAAAAAAAAAAGCCUUGCAAUGAAGACAGAAAAGCAUGAGUUUAAUUAGUCUAGGGAAAAAAGAAAAAAAAGAUAAGGUGGAAAUGCGGCACUCUUGAUGUAAAGAACAAAUUGGACAAAGUAUGGCCAGGGAUAAAUCAGGUAUUAUUGGUUCUGCAUCAAUGCAAGAAGGCUAGGCUGGAUCAUCUCCCUCCUUUCCAGUCUUAAUUUUCUGUUAACUCAGUCUUCCAUCCAAAAGAACUACACUACUGUCUGAGAUUAAAAUUGAUUUUUGACAAUAGACACUUAUGUCCUGCACUCCUUAAUGAUGGUAGUUCCUUUUGUUAACCUACAGAGAUGGAAAAGGGCGCAAGCACGUGCUGUUCACAGGUUGGUAGUUUUCUGUUAUUACUCAACAUAUGCAGCAGGCUGAAUCUUCGUUGUCAGAUUUCAUGGUUAAAAUUAUUUUCCCGUAGUAAUUCGUUGGAUGUUAUGUUGCAGCUUUUGCUUUCAGAAAUUAUUUUUAAGCUAUUAUUUUUAUGUUUGUUGUUUAAUGCAAAUGUGCUUGCCUGGAGUAGUGUAAUAAAAUGAAGUAAAACCCCAAAUAUUUAGUCUGUAUGGUGACUGCAAAUAUACAGAGCUGCUCAACUGCAAAUGUUUGACUGUCUAAAUGGGGAAAGCUACAGUAAUUCAAGUAAAUAGUAUACAAAUUUAAAAAUCAACUACAUACAUUAGCCAGGUGUCUGCCACUUAAUUGAAUUAAAGUGUUCCACAUUGAAUGAGAAGAACACAUUUACAUCUUAAUAUCAGUUCUUGUUUAAAUAUUUUAGAUGUCUUGAUGCAUCUUACUCUGUACUCAGCCAGCAGCUUUUGGCACUGUUUGGGGAAACUCUUUUUAUGUUUUAUUCACUUCAUCUUACAUUAUUUGUAAAUCUGAGAUCCUUAGAGUAGCUGACAGGAAAAGAAGGAAAGUUUUCCAUCUUAAUUAAUAUUUGAAGCUUGUAUGUAACUCCUAAUGGUACCAAACUGGGAACUGCGUAAAUUCUUUAGCUACAGAAAGAAUGAGCUAUUAAAUUAUCAUUUAUACUGAGAAAAAUAUGAUUUAUUUAUUUAUUUAUUUAUGUAAUUAAUUAAGUUCUAAGCGGCAUGGGCUUUCCUAGGCCUGCUUCAAGAAAGGAAGCUAUCAAAACAAGGCUAGUAAAGCCAUUCUCUCUCUGCAUACUUUAAAUCUGUGCCUAAGUUAUAUAUGAGAAAUGUUUCUAAUUCCUUUAACUCAAGCUAUUUAUAACUGUAAACAGCAGGAAACAGAAACUCCAAAACAGAGCAAAAAAAUGUUUCUGUGAAAAAAUGGCAGCGAUCAACAAACAGCAGUGCUCCUCCCACCAAAAUAAACAAAGCAAAUAACCCAAGCACCAUGAUCAGAAGAGGCACAGUAAGUUAAACACUCAGUAGUUUUUCAUCUUAAUGUGAUGUGGGCAAAACAAGAGAAUACAUUUUUUCUCCUUUCAAAGACUUAGCAUUGUGUGGCACUAAUAAAGCUUGAGAGUUGCAUGUAGUAUUUAUAGCUGUAGUUUCAGUUCAGAUUCCUUUCUUCGUUUCUUAAAAUUAGAAUAAAAUACUUUACUUCCUUCUGAAGUUUUAUUUUCCAGUUAGGAGCAGAUAUUCCUUGAAAAUAAAAAUUUUAAGAAAAAUGAUACUGACUACACAGCAACAGUUCUGUGGGCUGCAGCUGCUUUUUUUUUUUUUUUUUUACAUCUAUUAUUGCCAAGAGUGUUCUGUCUUUUGAUCACAGACUUGAGAGGAGGCAACAAAAAGCAGAAUUUAUGAGUCCAGUAGGCAAAGCAGAACAUAAGUUUAUUUCUGUCUUUUCAUGCUGUUUGUCUGAUAAGAAUCCGCUUCAAGUGUAUCUUUUAUUGUUCUUUCUUUUGGUUUAACAGAUGCAUUUCUUUUAAAAGGACCUGAAUAUACCCAGUAUGAUUUAGUAUAUAUUUUGUAUUGGGUAUAGACUUGGUAAAAACAAGAUAUCUAAUGUCAAAUCACAAACAAGUCUCUAAGCCAACAUCAGCAUCUGUUUUCCUUACUUUGACUUCAGAACUAAGCAUCUGCCUUUGUGAAGUGACCUGUUCAAAUUCACAGGAAAAGUUACUUGUGCUAUUUUUUGUUACCAUGCCUCCAUAUUACCCAGACCUCAGGGAUGUUCAUAGGAUCGUAGGAUGGCUUGGGUUGGGAGGGACAUCAAGGAUUAUCAAGCUCCAACCCCCGUGCUGCAGGCAUGUUGUCAGUAGCCUGGCCUAAAGCCUAGUUUAUAUCAGCAUGGACCAUUCUGUAUUUCAGUUUGUUUCUUAGAAGGCUGUUUAAUGUUUGCUGAGAAUGCUACUUCUCAUUCUCAUUUGAAGAUCAUAAACUAUAAAUGUGCAGAAUAAGCAGUAAUAUCCAGCAGAAUUCUCCAGUAUCUCAUUAAUUGUAUUUAUUUGUGAACUUUUUAAAUAGUCAACUAAUAUAUUUAGUAAUUCAUUGACUUAGUGUUAUUACACUAGUGUUCCAAGGUAAACCCGUAGUUUCAAGUAUUGCCAUUGUAGGUGUGUUGGGUCACAAUAUGAAAGGAGCAAAAUAGUUAAAAGUUCUGUGCAAACAGAACUCCUGAUCUGAUCUUAGGUGUGCUGAUGCUAAAUAACUUCUAGCUGCUUGGUCUUUGUCAUUCUGAGGAUGUGAGGUAUCUUUACUGUCAGAAAUAUUCCUUCUUUUGCAAUGUAGUGUCUAGAUUAUAUCUUAUUUAAAUGUAUCUGCCUAAAAAGGAGAUUUCUGAUAAAACUUAGUCAUCUAGACCUCCUUUGUAAUUGACAAGACAAGCAGGUUAUCUUGUUUUAAAAGAUCAGUUAUAUCUGGGAUGAAUUGCAAUCUUUUGGUGCUUGUCUGUCCCAGUCAAUUGGAUGAAGGAUCUGGCUGAGUAGCUUAGACAAGCCUAUCUUGUAGAUAGCUGAAGUUAAGUGUGAUGGAUUUGACGCAUAUGGCACUUAUGUGCGGUACUGCAGACUUAGAGUGAACCACACUGUUAGCUUAAAGGAUAAUAAUUGCACUAUAUGUAAGUUCCAGUUAUAAAAUAAUGAACUCUAUUAAAGUCUGAAAAUAGGAGCAAGCUGUAUGUAGUUAGUUGCAUGCAAAUUGCACAAAGACAAUCACGUGUAAUAGACUGGGAAUUUCAGAAGAUCUCAUCAAGAUGUGAGAAUAACAUUAAUUUGAAGGGGCUUGUUGAUUUCUAAUACGUGAAAAUACCCAGAAGCAAGAAACAUUUGAAUUGCUGGUGUGUGGUAAAGGAAAAUGAGUAUCUGUCCUGGAUUAUAGCUUCACACUGAGUUGACAUCACUGAAAGAGAGAAGAGAAAAAAGAAAAAGAAAAGAAAGGAGCAGAUUCCACUAUGGAAAACACAGUGCUAAAUUAUGCAUUAAGAUAUACUGAAGACGUAGGACACUAUACUAUCUUGUUUUCAUUGACUUACUGCAUAACUAUAUGGGAGCAUUUAAUGAACUAGCUGAAGAGUAAUUAAUAAAUGAUAAAAAUAAUAAAUGAUAAAAAAAACUUUUUCACGUACUGAAAAAAUGACAGCAGUAUCAGUUUCAAAAGGCUACUUCUAGAUUGGUAACUAUAAAAAGGCUUGAUUGUCUAGGUCAAAUGUAGGAAUAACAUUACAGGGCAGAAUGUUAGAAUUAAAGCUGAAGAGGAAAUAUUGGCAAUAGAAUCAAAAUAGUUUUAGGCGUACAUUUAGUUUUUAAGAACAGGGAGAAGAAUUUUAAAGAAAGCAGGUGAUCUCAUGAGAACUUGGGGUGAUUUUAUUGGGUAUUGAAGACAAAAACUUACUAUGAAUGAAUCACAGAAGUGUUUGAAUCUGACAGUACUGCUUCAGGUAUGAACACGAUCAAAUGCAAUUACCCGCAUAAGAAUUUAGCCAACACACUAGUAAAAAUAGCCAUCACUUUGCUGGCAUUCUGUAACCUCAAAAACAUGAAGUCUUUUUAGCUGUCUUUAGCAGUAUAACUAGAUGCUAUAAGCAGUCAGUAAAACACCUCUGUAACUCCGCUAUGCAUUUUUCAUUAAGUGAAGACUUUGAGAAAAUAUGCUCCUUGUUGAAUUGAAUUAUGUCCCAAAACACAUUGGUUUUCCCCAGUAUCCUCCACUAAGUCAUCAUGUUUGUCUUCAUUCAUUCAUAAGAUGUGACUGAAUUUCCAAGAUGUGUAGUGAACAAUAUGAGUAUAAACAUAUGACAUUGGCAAAUUUUUGGAUGUUCUUUUGUGAAAAAACCUGUUCAGUGUUAAACACAAACAUGGGGGAGGUGGAGGACUGGUGAGAAAAGGGGGAAUCUUUUUUAUUUUCUCAGUCGCAAAAUAUGACAGAACACUAUUCCAAUUUUUUAGGGAAAUAAUUAGAAAAACUGAUAGGCUUCCUCAUUUUAUGAGUUUUUGUUGAGCAGACAAGUGGUGUGACCUUACUGAAACUGAUGCCUAGGAGAAUACGUGGUGCACAGUUUAAGUAGUUUUUAAAAUAAUAUGAAGUUCAAACUCAUUAUGACAGUUAUUUGGAAACGCUGGUUUCCAUUUAGAAGAGCUUUAUUCUGAUCAGAAAAGUCAUGUACAAAGAUGGUUUGCGUUAGAUUAUUAAUUUAGAAUUGUGAGUAUUGAUAAUGAACAAAAGAGUUUUCUGCCUGAGAAGUUUCUCUGAAAAGUGCUAUGUGGGUGGCUUCUUGUUCUUCCAUGUAUGAGUCAAAACAUAUUGCUGCACUUAGAGCAAUAGUAGAAGAUUAUAGAAGGAUUUAUAUAGCUGAACAGAAAAUAUACAAUGUGGGUAGAUAAGUAACAUUUUGUUUUCCCUGUUAGUUCCAUUUUAAAUAGCUGACUAUCUGUUUGCAAUUUACUCUGGUCAUUCCUGGAAGAGAGUUUCUGACAUCCUGCAGAAAAUUUUCAGCUUUCCAGGUAUCCCCAACAACCCACUUUUUAAAGUGGAUUUUGGUUAUCUUUGGAAUUAACUAUUUUAUACAAUCGCUAAGGAAAUGUAUUACAACUGUUGGGAAUGCAUUACAGAGUAAGUGCAAAACUAGACGCACAUCCAAAAUACAUCUAU
rnacentral:lncRNA from 1 species